rnacentral:rRNA from 1 species
CCUACGGGUGACAGCAGUGGGGAAUAUUGCACAAUGGGGGGAACCCUGAUGCAGCGACGCCGCGUGAGUGAAGAAGGAUUUCGGUAUGUAAAGCUCUAUCAGCAGGGAAGAAAAUGACGGUACCUGAAUAAGAAGCCCCGGCUAACUACGUGCCAGCAGCCGCGGUAAUACGUAGGGGGCAAGCGUUAUCCGGAUUUACUGGGUGUAAAGGGAGCGUAGCCGGUUAUGCAAGUCUGAAGUGAAAGCCCAAGGCUCCACCCUGGGACUGCUUUGGAAACUGUAAAACUGGAGUGCAGGAGCGGUAAGCGGAAUUCCUAGUGUAGCGGUGAAAUGCGUAGAUAUUAGGCGGAACACCAGUGGCGACGGCGGCUUACUGGACUGUAUCUGACGUUGAGGCUCGAAGGCGUGGGGAGCAAACAGGAUUAGAUACCCUAGUCGUC